ACCAACACAUGGGACACAUUUUGUGGGAUUUAAGCGCUUCUAUCUUGUUCUGCAGGAUGCUGCUGCUCAUCUACCUCCAUGCUGAUUCCUGCAAAAUCCAGAGGGAGCCAGCUUCUUUAUUUCCAGCUGAAAGGCCCUGAUGACUGCGAGGGGUCUGCUUCACACCGGGUCAGGACGUACUGACCGACCGCUGCUCUCCAAACUGGACCUGUUGUUCAGCGGGUGGCUGACAGCAUCACUGGGUCUUGCUCCUGCUGAUAAUAGAAAUAAAUUAAUGGCAAAUACAUGUUCCAUUAACUUCGAAACAAUAUUUCCUGCCUUUUCUUUACAGACGUCGGUAAUAAAUGGCUCAUUUUUAAACUUCAA